UUUUUUUUUUUUUUUUUAAAGAAAGGUUUGGUUACAAAUUCAAUCAUCAUUUGGCUAUUGUUUCAUUUUUUUAUUUUUUUAUUUUUCUAUUUUAGUUACUUAUUUCUGUGUGUGGUAGAAGCCAAAUUGCUCAAAGCAUAAUAUUUUAUUUCUUGGCCUCAAAUUCUGGAUAUUUUGGUAGUCCUCUAUUUCCUCAUUCUCCCAGAAACAAUUGUAUAUGAUGACAAAUUUAAUGUCUCUAUCUAUUCACACGCAAGUUAGGAAACCUAGUUUUGAAUUCUUCCCUGGGCUAGUCCAAAAGGACUAUUUAAGAACAGCUACUAGAAUUUGUUCUCUAAUCACCAAAUAAUUUUGUUGGCUAGAAAAAAUAGCAAAUUGUUUUUGUUAGUACAGUCAAUUCUAGCUUUAAUUCGGUGUAAGUAUUGGGAUGAUAAUAAUAAUAAUGAUGUAAUCUUUUUGUAAUUUUGCAGAGGAAAGGUACUCGUUGAUGGCGAUGAAAUCUGAAACGCCUUCUCGCCAGGAACCAAUCAGCAAUGGUGUUCCCAAAGCUCUCAUGUCAAGAACAACAGAGCUUCCUCCCGUGACCAAAACGGUAACUGCUAGUUCCAGUAAGUAUCCAUCUAUCGAACGCCCAAUUUCUGGACCUAUCGAGAAAAAACCUAAGAUUGAGCAUAGCGAGUCAUAGAAAUGUAAAGUAUUAAAAAAAAAAAAAAGAGAAAAGGAGAGGAGAUUAUAGCAGUAUUCGAAGCACAUUGCUGAAUCUUUUUAUUUGCACUCUGACAAUGUGGAAAUGCUGUAGGUAAACUUCUUGUUGACUCGAUUAAUAAAUUCCAUCCAAUCGAGCCACUCAUUUUAAUUUUAACCUUACACCGAGUUGCUGUGAUUUGUACUUGUAGAUAAUUUGAACAUAUUUCUCCAAGUUUGAUUGUGCAAUUAGCAUAUAGUUCGCUGUAUCGUAGGCAGAAUAUAUUGGUGAUUUUCAUGUAGUUGGUUGAACAUUAGAGAGGUUGCCCUAAUGUAGGGGCAUGUUUAGGGUUCAUCUCUCUUUUCUUUAGCAAAUGCUAGCUUAAUCUUAUGUGGAAGGAUGGAAAUGUUCUCACCUUUUUUUUUUUUUUCAUUUUUGGACAAAGAAUUGUAGUGAAAAAUCUAUAGAGAAAAUCUACAAUUUAUUUAAAAAGGUUGCACCUUUGUAAUAAUUAGCUGCAUGAUUUUGCCAUGAGUAGUGGUAUUAAUAGGAGUGGUGCUACAUUCACAAUUUCGACUCACUGUUUGGUGAAUGUUGUUUAUUUUGGAGUAUAUGUCAUUUAUUUUGAAGUAUAUGUCAGUCACACCACAUCAUCUAUUAAUAGUCAAUCAUAUUUUUCCUUGUGAGUAGAAAGUAUAGUAAAAAUAUUUUUUUAUUAAGGGAAAAUUUCAAGUACCAUCUUGUGAUUUCGCACUUUCGUAUUUUAGUACCCUGUGGUUUAAAGUGUAUCGCUUUCGUGUCCUGUGGUUUUAUUUUUUUCUUUUUGUUAUUCCUUCCAUUAAUUUUUUUCGUUAAAUCAGUGAUAAAGAUAAAACUAAAGGGUAUUAAAGUGAAUAUUUGAUAAACUAUAGGUGGGGCAUGUGAAAUUUUUUGUAUAUGUUUUAACGAAAAGUUAACGGAGGGGUAACGAGAAGAAAAAAAAAAAAUCACGAAGUAGUAAAUUGAUAUAUUUUAAAUCAUAGGGUACUAAAGCGAGAAAGUGUGAAAUUAUAGAGGUGGUAUUUUGAAGUUUACCUUUUUAUUAACUAUGAUAGGAUGGAUGAGCUCCAAAGAAGCAAUUUGAUUGGUUGAGGUACACCACAGUGUGAGGCGUGUUUGGUUUGAAGUCGGAGUCGGAAUCGAAAUCGGAAUCAAAAUAAGGCAGAAUCGGAAUCGGAAUAUCUCAUUAUCUAAUUCUGUUUGAUUCAUCACCUGAAUCGGAAUCGGAAUAAAUCAUUCUCAUUGUCGGUGUUUGGUUCAGGUGGAUAUAAAAAACAUAAUCAAAUUAGUAUAUUAACAUUAUCUUUAUAAUAUAUUAAUUUAAAUUCAAAUUAAAUAUUAAAUAUUUAAAAACUACAUCAAAAUUUUGAAAUAAUGUCAAAAUUUUAAAUGUAUGUUUUUUUUAAAAAAAAUUAAACUUUGAAGUUGAGUGGAUAAUUCAAAAUAUGAAACUAAAUUUUGAUUUAUUCAAAUUCAAACUUAAAAUUACAAUUACAAUUUUAAUUUGAAUCCAUAAAUUUAAUUUAAGUUUGAAAUAAAAUUUGAAUAAAACUUUAUAUAAAUUAAAAUUUAAUUUAAAUUCAAAUUAUAAGUUAGAUUCGAAAUAUUUGAUUAAAUUUUAAUUUUUAAUUUAAGUUUAAAUUAAAAUUUAAAAUAAUAUAUUUAAUUUUUAAAUUUUAACUCAUAUUUUAAUUAAAAAAUUUGAAAAAAUAAAUUUAAUCCGAAUAAAUAUCCAUUCCGUCCGGAUUCAACUUUCAAUCCGGCCUCCUAGGCCGGAUUGAAAAAAAAGGUGAUUGGGAGAUUCCCAUUCCACUCGGGAAUUGGAAUCGGAAUGGAACUCUCGCGUACCAAACACCCACAAACGAAUUUACCCAUUUCGAUUCCGAUUUCAGGAUGAAAAAGAAGCGAACCAAACACGCCCUGUAUGCGGUCGCUGCAUUCUAGAUAAUUUCCAUCCAACGGUUAUUGGAGAUUUGGCGAGAGCAAAAGUAGUUUUUUUUUCUUAAUAGAGCAGGAAUUGUUUCCUUAUGGAGCUGGUAUAUUUGGUCGUACCUUUUUUUUUUUUUUCGUAGCGAUUGACCUCUUACUAUAAGACCCUAAUUGGAGCAGAUUAUCAUAUAUAAACCGGAGAAGCUAGAUGAUUGUGUUGGACUAUUGGUGUUAAUUAUUAAUUUUAAAAACUCGAGCUAUUAGAAAAAUAUAAUUAAUCAUUUAAAGCGUACAGACACAUCAUUUACAUGUCUUGAUUGUGAUUCAGCCCAAUUAACCUUACGGCACUUCGAACCUAACCUCGUCAGAUUUAGUCUCACGCCAUUUCGAAUGUGACUCGAUCCAAUCUGUUCUCCUUCCAUAUAAUAGGAGGAUGAACCUUUUUAAGCCAACAGAUAGACCUAUCAUAAGAUCAUUCAUGGAGCAGAUUAUUGUGUAUAAAUCGGAGAAGUCGGAGGCUUGAACUCAAGAUUGUUAAAUAAAAGGGUUUCAAACCUCGGACCUCAAGGAUGGACUUCAGAAUAGCAGUCAACUAACUAGUCGAGAAGUAGUGCUUGUAAGAAGGUCCAAAUAGUCUACCAUGUUUGCUUUGAACCAUCCAGUGAAAUGUUCUGCAUUUUAUAUAUGCUUUCAGUUCUACCACCAAAUAUAUUGCAGACUUUUCUUGAUUAAGUAAUUAAUUCCUUCAUAAAAUGAUUGGGUAGCUGGAUUGAAAGUAAGAGAUUUCCUCAUGAAGAAGAAGAGAAAAGAAGAGAACUCCAAAACAUGUUACUGCAGAAUGUUACUUAAGUGUUUGACAAUUAUAGGCAAUAAUCAAGUGUUUUGGGCCCAACAAGGUUGAUAUUUAAAUUGUAACGACCCGACCCGUUAGCAAGGAUAACUCGUCGAGUCCAAACCACCGGCCCAACAAAAAGUUCUUUUUCUUUUCCAUCCGAUGUGAGACUAUUGCGGCGUUACAUAAGCGAGAAAAAGGAUGCUUGAUUUUUUUCAGGCCCCAUGGAUACCUUAUCCUUUGAAUACAUAUUUUCCAACUUUGUUAUCAUUUCAUUAAGUUCAGCGAAUACAAGCUUCAUAUACUGAAUUAAAAUUCACAAAUACACCGAGAAAAAGAGUUCAUGUCUAUUUAUUUAUUUGCACAUUAUACAGCAAAAAACAAAUCUGGAACAGAGAAAAUGUACAACUCAAAUCAUUCCUGAUCUUGAUAAGAUACAAAUUCGUAGUUUCCCUCUCGACGAUGUAACAGUGUGCAGCUUUUCACUGUCCAAAGAUAUCGGAAAUCGACUUCUUGAUAUUUCUCACUAACUCUUCCCUGGAAAGAAUUAAAAGGUAAAAUGCAAUUACUGAAAUGGGUUGAAACAAUAGAAACCACAAGAUUACAGGUGCGAAAUUUAAAGUGCAACAAAGUACUAAAAUGUGGUGGAGAGGAAGGAUAUAUAAAUUUGCAGCAGCUCUGGAUCAUAUAGUUCUCAGAGUUGAAGAUUCAAAAGAAUUAUUGUUCCUUUGUGAAUAAAAUUUUUACCUCUGAUCCGAACAGAAAAAUAGUUCCACAUAAAAGGGAACCAAGGAAGCUCACUGAGAAUGUCCUCAUAAUAAAAUAGAAGUUUUGACUGAUUGAGGAGUGUGAAUUCUUUUUCUUUUUUCUUUUUUUUUUUCCUCAAGGAUCAAAUAAUCAACAUGGAAAACAACAGUUUAAAUUGUAAUGACCCGACUAACUAGCAAUAUGGGCCCAAACUAUCGGCCCAAAAUACUUACGUCCAGUUAUUAUUAAUAAGGUGCGUUACUAACCCUAACGUUCUCAUCAGAUCCAAAUAUGAUGACAGACAAUAUAGAUCAAAAUUAUUAGGCAACGUGAAAUUUUAGAGGUGAUUUUUGUGGGUUCAAGAGGUGGCUCCACAUAGCAUUAAGUUCUCACAUUUUCGACUAGUAUUUGAUCCUGGAUAUCAACUGUAACGACGACCCGACCCGCUAGCAAUUAGGUCCAAACUACCAGCCCAAAAUGCUUAAGUGCUAUAGACUCUUCUAUUUUAGACCCUGACGUCCUCAUCAGGUACAAAUAUUACACUUAGCUCUCACACUGCUAACAACAAUAAUUUGUUGGGCGCAAACCACCGGUCCAAAAUACUGAAGCCCAGUUAUUAUUAUAGGGUGCUUGACCUCUUAUAUUUCCAAUAAGAACCUCUUUUCCAUCCGAUAUGGGACUAUUGGGGUAUUAUAUAAAUAUAUAUAUAUAUUUUUUUUCUUCUGGAAGUAAGCAAUUUAACAUGGAAAAAAACACUUUAAACCAUUAUUUUUGGUUUAAGGAUCAAAUAGUUGUGUGUUUCUUACCUGUCAGGUUUAAAGAGGAGGUAUCGAUAUAUGAACCACUGCAAAAGAAAAGCAAGGGGUUAAGGCAAAUAAGGAGAAUCAAAACUUCUUUAUGUCCACUUACAUUCCAGCUUCUUUUUUUUUUCGCAAAGUGCUAUAGAAAAGGUUUCAGAGUUUUUACCCAAGAAAACAAUAUUCCAAUGAACUCAAGAGCACUUGGGACAACAGGAAGCUUGUCAAUAGCCUGCAACCAAUAUAAUCAAUUUCUCACUUGUAAAAUGUGAAGCAACUAAUCAAGAACUAGCUUGCCAAACUAUCUUUUUUUUUAUUGUGUUAUGGCUACAAAUGAUGCAAUUGAAGUCAACAGAGAUCCCUUUUCUUCUGUAUGAACGAAAAAUGAAUUACAAAAACAUUCUCGACAUCACAAAGAAAUAAAUUACCCCAAUAAGAUUUACAGAAGCCCAAAUUGCAACGAUGGCCGCGAAACCAAAACCAGCUAGAGCUAUACGAUCUUCAGAGCUGUUCCACUGUCUCAGAGAUACACAAAUAGAAAGUUUCCUUAGGUUUUUCUCUGUCAAAAUAACGACGGCCUUAAAUGAUAUGAUGGUUUAAAAAUUUAACGUGAAAACAUGUACGCACAAUAUUAAAAGAUCUAGAGAUCUAUGACACUUAGUAGUGGACUUUGCGUAGCAUCGAGUGUCUGAAUAGCUACUAUUUUUGUUGUAAACAGGCUAAUAUUUCAGGUCAAAAAUAGGAGUCAGUCGUUUAAUUUACUAUGAGGUCACGUAAUUCUACCCUCGACAUCUAUCAUAAUUUCCUCACAAAAUAGAUUUUAAGAAAACAAACACUGGUUAGCAACCAUUAUGUGUUACCAUUCUCCAUUUUGUUGUGCAAACUUUCCCAAAAAGAUAAUUAUCUUUCAGGUCUUCAGACUCUAAUGUUAAGCUUUUUACAUCCUUAAUAACAUUUGACAUUUGUUUUUUGCAUUUUGUAAUAUGUAACACAAAUAAACCAUGCACCCAAAAACUCACUGCAUUUUGAACGUAUUUGACGAUGCUUCCGGAUGAAGAAGAUUCAGAACUAUCUCCUGCAGCCUUCGCAAAUGCUAUCGAAUGCCUCUUUCUACCUGCAGCAAGAAAUCCAUGGUAAACUUAAAACUGUGGUAAAUAAAGUACUGAAUCUAAUAUCAAUUACAGCAUAACGAAGAGAUCUCAUCCUUGCUGCUAAAUGAGAGUGUUCAAAAGGGCUGUUAUUACAUACUUAUUGAAGUGAAGAAUUAAGUAAAUAUGUUACUUUUUAUACCAAAAUUUAGCAGAUGGGUCACCUGACGAGAUGCAUAUUUCAUUUUAGCACGACCUGAUUGUUACACGACAAAUAAGCAAUUGAUGUUAUCUUGGAAAGAACCUCUAAUGCGAACUUAUGAGCGAGAAAGACCAGCUAUUUAAGCUCGACUAGUUGAAUGUCUUAUUCUGAACUCACUAACUCAAGUGAAUAUGAUAAUCUUUACACCAAAAUUUAGCAUAUGAUCAACUAAUGAUCGUAUGAUCAUUGACGAAAAGUUUAUCUUGUAACAAUUAGUUCAUUGACAAAAUGAAGCAUGCAUCUUAUCAGAUGAUAUUUUGUCAGUGACCUAAUGGUAUAUGAUAAACAUGCAGCUGAAGUUACUUACCAUGGGAAAAUUUUUUAAUGGGCAUUAAUGAAAGAACCCAACCAAUCACUACAAAUCAAUAUCUCCCAUUAUUACCAUAUUCCAAGAUUCAUAUCUUCAAGAUAAAAAUCUUCGAAAUGCAUAUCAGUAAAAAGAUUCUUGAUUUUAAGAACAAGAUAAAUAUGUCGAUGCCUAAAGCAUUCUCAUCUUUACCUUCUUGAGUAAAAUACAAGUUGAUUCCUAUUACGAGAUACCAAAGUAGUCACUAAACUCAUUUUAUUGACAUAGUUCAAUAGUCUAAAGAAUAGAGAAUUAUUGAUACGAUUCACUUAUAAAGCUUAAAGAAUAAAAUUCUCAGGACUAGAUUGACAAAUACUAUAGAAAAUUGACCAAAUUGGUAGCUCCAUAAAACUCAUUUGAGAAAACAACAACAACAACAACAACAACAACAACAACAACAACAACAAAAUCUGGUAUGAAGAGAAAAGGAAAGAAGAAACAACAGAAAAUACGAUAAAAGAUGAAGGUUGAAUGCCUGAGGUUGCUUUACUUCUGAUACAUAUUUUCAUUAUGUUCUGUUUCCCCAAAACAGCAUAUGCAACUCUGAAAUUCAUUAAGUGAAAUUCACUUGUCCAUGCUAGAGGAAGUUUACGCUUGUAAAAGAGCAUUUAUUUCAGUGAAAUUCCUUAAGCUGCAAAAAGGUGAAACAUAUUCAUAAUUGAUAAAUGCUUCAUUAAGGCCUUGUUUGGUAUUGCUACCAACUUUUUUCCUUUUUUUUCUAAACAGAAUUUCUAUAUGAAAUAUUGUAGCAGAAGAGGAUGGCAAAUUGCUCGCAAUUCUUUCAUCUAAGGUGUUUACUUGGUAACAAGAAAGGAAAAAAAAAGANAAAAAAAAGAAAAAGAAAAAAGGAGAAAACAUAGAGAAUAUAGAUUGUAAUUUAAUAGCUCUGGGGAAUAAACUCAUCAUGUUUCUAGCCAAAUACCUAUUACUUUGGAUAAAUAAAACACCUGAUCAUAAGGGUGUCAAUAGAACAGACAUUUUUUCCCCGUCUAAUAAUAAACAUUUAGCAAUCUAGCCAGUAAUUUUUCUUUUUCUUUUUUUUUUUUUUUAUUUUUUUUUUUAAAAAAAUUAUUGUUCAUCAUUUUGCAGGGUGCAUUGCAAGCUAACCAAUCGUAAAAAUAUAUUUUAAAAGAUUCUUCUCCUAGUAUAUCAAAUCGUAUAUAGAAUUAGUAUUUGAAAAAAACAAAAAAGGGUACUGAUACCAUAUAACAAUGCGCAGUUUUUACCACAGAAAUACAACAUUAAAGAAUAGAAAAACUAACUUAUUCUAAAUUUUUUAGGUGCCAAAAAAUGAUCUCCUUCCCUUCUAAAAAAACAUUUGCAACAACAACCGAAAAAGUCCAAGCAAGGUUAUUGAAAGGAUAUUAAAUUGAACUUUUUUAUUAAUAGGCUUAAUUACAAAAAUAAUUUGGCAAAAAAUUUAUUUAUAAAAUUAGAUAUAUGCAAUGAAUGAACUACCGCUUUUUAAAUAUGGCAAAUUAUUCGCCGCUUCCUUUAACAUAUUAAAACUAUUUUUAAAGUUUACUACUAUACAUUUUUCAAAGUUCAGACGUGAAAAAUAUAUAAGUUACGUAAAAAUGGCGAAUGAUUUAUCGCUUUUAAGAAACAAUAAAUGAUUUAUUCACCGUUUAAGCCUAGUUUUAUAAAUAAAAAUUUUGAAUGCCUAUAUUUAUAAUUAAAAUUAAAAUGUUUCGUAGGUUCAGUAGCCUAAAAACUCCAAUUAAAUUAACACCAGAAAUUAAUAGCAACCAAACCUUCUACUUCCCCAACCCUUUCUCAAACUAAUAUACAAAAGCAAUCAUAGUUCUCACUUUUACAUGAAAAAAAAAAAAGAAAAAAAAAGAAAAAAAAAAGGAAUCAACUAAUCCAAUAAGAAUUAGCUUUGGUGUACAUUUAGAAGAUUAAAAUCACCUGCCACUGUGGGAGCUGGGAUCUUUGGAAGAUCCCCAAAGAGGGCUUUGUUUCCACACAGCAUAAGAGACUGGGGUGUAGCAAUGGAGAAGGCAAAAGCCAUGACCAUUAGCUGCAAAAAAAGAAAAAAAAAGAAAAAAAAAAAAGGAGAUUAAAAGUUGAAAAAAAAGAAAAAAAAAUUGUCCUGAUUGCAGACUGGACAAGGCAAACUAAGAGCUGAAUUCGACUGAAUAAAUUGAUGGUUAGGGUGUAGACUGACUGACCAGAGAAGAACUCCUUUGUGUGGGUGAGUCGACACCACUUCUUCGUGAUAGGAUAAUGCAGGUGUUUUUCGUUUUUAGAUAAUAUUAUUAUAAUGAACAGGACUGUUGUGAUCUCAAGAGCACGGAGAUCUCCGUUUUCCUGAGCCGUUUUUGAUGAUUGAGUUUUCGAAUCGACGAUCGGCUCCGUUAGACAUGAUCUAGCAUAUUUGAAGUUUUUAGAAAAUAAUUUUUACGAUUUUUUGAUAUUAUUUACCUAGUGAUCGAAAGGAUUCAAAAUCAAUAAUUUUUAAAGGUUGAUAUCUGUCGUUUUUAAGUUUAACGGUGUAGAAGUAUUCAAAUUAGAUGAAAUUUUGAUACAAAAUUCUUUAUACAAUCUACAACAAGAUCAAUAUUUCUGAUUGAAAAUUUUAGUGCUAUAUCACCACUUUUUAUAGAAUUUUUAUUUUCAGCCGUUAAAAAUUAUUAAUUUUGAAUUCUUUCGGUUGCUAGGUAAAUGAUAUCGAAAAAUUACAAAAAUUAAUUUCUAGAAAUUUCAAAUACGCUAGAUCAAGUCUAACUGAGCCGAUCGUCGAUUCGAAAAUUCCAUCAUCAAAAACGGCUCAGGAGCACGGAGGGCUCCGUGCUCCUAAGAGCACAACAGUCCUACUCUUAUUAUAAUAUUAUUAUUUGAGAGGGCGAAUUAUAACGGAUGAGAAAUUUGUAAGGAUCCGACUAUGGUGUAGCACUUAGCUCUCAGUCCCGUAAACUCUUAUACUAAUUAAUAAUAAUAAAUUAUUGAGUCUAAAUUACUGGAAAUAAUAUUUAAUGGGUCUACAAAAACUUUUGAAAUAUUCAAUUUGCCCUUAUUUUUUUGUGUGUAUAGUUCUCCGUUAUACAAAAAUAUCCCUACCACUAGUACUAGUUAAGUUAUCUCAAGUUAAAUCCGGAUUAAAUUUCUAUCUGGGUUCAAAGAAAAUUAAAAUAUUUUUCUUGCUCUUAAUUUAAGGGUAAAUAAGAAAAAUUGGUGAUGGUAGAAGACAAAAAAUCAGAGUAUUUCGUUUGGCUAUAUAUUAAGGGCAAAUAAGAAAAAUAGGUGACGGUAGAAAUGUAGAAUAAUAUAUUUGAAAGGAUAAAAUAAUAAUUUUACAGAGAUAACGGCAGUUCACUAACAGAAUUUAACUUUAUGGAUAUGGAUAUAUUUGAAUAAUUUGGAACGUUAAAAAGAUAUUUUUAAUAUUAGCCUUAUAAGAGGGGUAAUUUAGAAAGUCAAAAAUUUUUCAGAAGUAUAUUUAUAAUGAGUUGAGUUAGAAUACUUCUAAAAGCACCAAAGAGGUGGUGCUUUUGAGUUUUUAGCCUUUGGAUGAAGAAAUGUAGGGUUGGGAUGAUAGUGGUAGGCGGUGAUAGGUGGAAUAGUGUUUGAUCAAAGGGGUAUUAGUAAUCGGGGAGUAGAUUCAAGGGCUGAAAACUUAGAAACACCAAGGAGGUGGUGCUUCUAAAAAUAUUCUAGCUCAAUUCAUAAACAAUUGCCCCUACUAUUUAUAUAUCAAAUCACAAUUUUAUUUUCAUCUGAUUUGGAUCAUUGAGAUAUUGCAAAAUUAUUACCCGAACCAGGGUACAAGUAGGGGUGAAAGUGGUUAGCAUGAUUUCUGAUGAAAUUCAUCAUCAGAUACGAUCGGAUUUGAAAAUGGACGUUAGAAUUAUACAUCCCACCGAAUUCGAAUAUUAUAUUUACAAUAUUUUUGAAUUCAGAUUUGAAUACAAAUAUAUUAUAAUACUUUGAAUACAGAUUUGAAUAUCCAAAUAUACAUAUAUAGAGUUGAGCUAGAAUACUAUCGGUAGCAAACGGGCUCCGUUGCCACCCAUUUGUUUUCGAUGAUGAAAUCUCCAAAUCGACGAUCGGCACCGUUAAAUAUAAUCUAUACCACUUGAAGUAUCUAGAAAUCAAAUUUCAUGCUUUUUCGAUAUUGUUCUCUUGUCCAUUAAGUGGGCGUAAAAAUNNNNNNNNNNNNNNNNNNNNNNNNNNNNNNNNNNNNNNNNNNNNNNNNNNNNNNNNNNNNNNNNNNNNNNNNNNNNNNNNNNNNNNNNNNNNNNNNNNNNNNNNNNNNNNNNNNNNNNNNNNNNNNNNNNNNNNNNNNNNNNNNNNNNNNNNNNNNNNNNNNNNNNNNNNNNNNNNNNNNNNNNNNNNNNNNNNNNNNNNNNNNNNNNNNNNNNNNNNNNNNNNNNNNNNNNNNNNNNNNNNNNNNNNNNNNNNNNNNNNNNNNNNNNNNNNNNNNNNNNNNNNNNNNNNNNNNNNNNNNNNNNNNNNNNNNNNNNNNNNNNNNNNNNNNNNNNNNNNNNNNNNNNNNNNNNNNNNNNNNNNNNNNNNNNNNNNNNNNNNNNNNNNNNNNNNNNNNNNNNNNNNNNNNNNNNNNNNNNNNNNNNNNNNNNNNNNNNNNNNNNNNNNNNNNNNNNNNNNNNNNNNNNNNNNNNNNNNNNNNNNNNNNNNNNNNNNNNNNNNNNNNNNNNNNNNNNNNNNNNNNNNNNNNNNNNNNNNNNNNNNNNNNNNNNNNNNNNNNNNNNNNNNNNNNNNNNNNNNNNNNNNNNNNNNNNNNNNNNNNNNNNNNNNNNNNNNNNNNNNNNNNNNNNNNNNNNNNNNNNNNNNNNNNNNNNNNNNNNNNNNNNNNNNNNNNNNNNNNNNNNNNNNNNNNNNNNNNNNNNNNNNNNNNNNNNNNNNNNNNNNNNNNNNNNNNNNNNNNNNNNNNNNNNNNNNNNNNNNNNNNNNNNNNNNNNNNNNNNNNNNNNNNNNNNNNNNNNNNNNNNNNNNNNNNNNNNNNNNNNNNNNNNNNNNNNNNNNNNNNNNNNNNNNNNNNNNNNNNNNNNNNNNNNNNNNNNNNNNNNNNNNNNNNNNNNNNNNNNNNNNNNNNNNNNNNNNNNNNNNNNNNNNNNNNNNNNNNNNNNNNNNNNNNNNNNNNNNNNNNNNNNNNNNNNNNNNNNNNNNNNNNNNNNNNNNNNNNNNNNNNNNNNNNNNNNNNNNNNNNNNNNNNNNNNNNNNNNNNNNNNNNNNNNNNNNNNNNNNNNNNNNNNNAGAGAGAGAGAGAGAGAGAGAGAGAGAGAGAUAGGCUACUUACUAUAUCGGUAGCACGGAGGCCUCCGUACUACCAAGUUGUUUUUAAUGAUGCGGCUUCCAAAUCGAUGAUCGGCUCCGUUAGACUUGAUCUACACUAUCGAAAGUAUUUUGAAACUAAAUUUCAUAAUUUUUUAAUAUCAUUUACCUAACAAACGAGUAAUCUAAAAAUGAACGGCUGAAAAUAAAAAUCUCAUAAAAAAUGAUGAUAAAAUACUUGAAUUUAAGAUCAGAGGUACUGAUCUUAUUCUAAAUAGUGGAAAAAAUUUUCUAUAUAACUUUCAUCAGACUUGGAUUGUUUUAUACCGUUAAAUUCACAAACGAAUCACCUCUACCAUUAAAAUUAUCAAUUUUGAGACCUUUUGAUCAUUAGUCAAAUGAUACCAAAAAAUUAUGAAAUUUAGUUUCCAAAUACUUUCAAUAGUGUAGAUCAAGUCUAACGGAGCCGAUCGUCGAUUUGGAAGCCGCAUCACUGAAAACAAUUUAAUAGUACGGAGGCAUCCGUGCUAUCGAUAGUAUACCAGCCUAACUCUCUCUCUCUCUCUCUCUCUCUCUCUAUAUAUAUAUAUAUAUAUAUAUAUAUAUAGAGUUGAGCUGGUAAUACUUAUUGUAGCAAACGGCUCCGUUGCCACCCAUUUGUUUUCGAUUGAUGAGCUCCAAUGCGGACGAUCGAACAUCGUGGUUAGUAGCAUGAUCUAUUAUCACUGAGUAUCUAGAAAGUUCAAAUUUCAUACUUUCGAUAUUGUUUCUUAUCCAUCAGAUCUGGUGAGCACUUAAAGGAUGAACGGUUGAAAAUGAAUAUUCUUUAAUAAAAUGUAUGUAUAGGGUCUUAGUAGUCAAGAUUCAAGAGCAUAGAUCUUGUUAAAUAGUUUAAAAAAUUUUCUAACAAAAUAACUGAUUUGGGAUUCUUACGCCCGUUGUUAAACGAGAAAACGGCUCAUAUCGACCAUUAAAAUUACAAAUUUUGAAACCCUUUGAUCAUUAGCCAAAUGAUGUCAAAAAGAUUUGAAAUUUGAUUUCUAAACACUUAAUGUGGUAUAGAUCAUGUUCAACGAUACCGAUCGUCGAUUUGGAGGCUCUAUCAUUGAAAACAAAUGGGUGGCAACGGAGCCCGUUUGCUAUCGAUAGUACUCUAGCUCAACUAUAUAUAUAUAUAUAUAUAUAUAAGUUGUGCUGGUUUGCUAUCGGUAGUAAAGUGGAUUUUUACUAUUGAUUUUUUGUCCGUCCGAUUGAUUGGCGAAGCGCUCAGAUCAAAAGCGCGAGUAGUGCGGAGCCUAACGGAGUAAACAAAAACGGAGUUAAGUGAAAUUUCAAAACGCAAGGGGCGCAAACUUUCUUUUUUCCCCCCUUUAUCCCCAAACAGUACUACGUGAAAAAGGGUAAAGAAUUCUUCUAUUUCCUUCCCUAUCCCUAAAUAGUGCUCCGUCAAUAUGGGCAAAGAAAUAUGUUUUUUCCCUUUCUAUCGCAGCCAACCCUAUCUCCAAUCUCCUUCGAUCCAAUCCCAAGUCCCAACCCAACUCUCCUGAGGCGCUGUGCCGGAUCGUGGGAAGGGAGUUAGAGAGGGCCCUGCUCAAGCUAUGGGUCUAUUUUGGGGCAGUGUUGUGAGUUCUUGGUGAGGUACAUGAAGCUCCCUGUGGCGGUGUCGUUGGAGCUCGAUAGAAGGAAGUACUAUAUGCCGAUGGCGACGACGGAGGCAGUCCCUCGUGGCGAACACCAACAGUGAUUGCAAGGCCAUCGCCGAGUCGGGAUGAGAUGACGUUGGCGCCCGUCGUGUGCUUAAUCACAACUUGCAGAGUCAGAGCCGCGGAGCUCAAGGCCUUCAUGGAGAACCCCACAAGUUUCAAAAUGCUUACUGUGGUCUUCAAUAGGUAAUUAGUUAAUUAAUUAGUAAAAUUUCUCUCUUUUCUUUCCUUGAUUGCUAUGCUUGAUUUGAGCAAUCGAGAAACCCAUUUUCUCAUUUCUUAAUUAUUUAAUCUAAUGGUUGUUUAGUAGCAGGCAACGUCAUCGACUGUCGUUGCGGCUACAACUGCGGCUCCCAAUUUUGCCUCCGCCCCGUGACUGUGUCAAUAAUUUUGGAAAUCAGGGGGUUAUGAAUUGUUAGGGCGUGUGCAGAGUUGACGAUUUAGCAAGUGCUAAGAAGGUGUUGGAUGAAAUGCAUGUGAAAAAUGUGGUUUCUUAGAGUGCAAUGGUUUCCUGAUACAUUCUAAGGAGGAAAAAUAAUUUGUUGGUUUGCAUUAUAAUGACUAAAGAGUUUGCAAUAUAUGGCCGCAUUUUGAAGACAUUGCAGCCCUUGGGUAGCAAUUAUGCUGCUUCCAUGAGACAUAGUAAUUAUGGAAUUAUGAAGUGUAAUUAUUCUAUAGAUUAAAAUACUAUUCACAUAGCUUGUAUCUUGGAUAAUGUAUUGUACAAGAGAAGAACAUGAAAAAUAAGAAUAAUACAAUUUUUAAAUAGCAAAAUCAUGUAUGGUGUAUGUUUUGAGGGGUUAUUUAAGCAACUACCACUUGCACAAUUUAUUUCUACUAUUUUGUUAUAAUGUAUGAAUUGCAAAGUGCUUUUUAAUUCUUGCUGGAGUUGUAUAUGCACUAUAUCUAAUUUUAUAUUCUUCUUGAGUUGAAUAUAAUGUAGGAUUUAGAAAAAUUCUUCCGACGCUUAAACAAAUCUAGAUACUGGCAUUUGAAUUCAGACAAUUUAAGGUAUUAUAAAUGCUUUGCCAUAUACUUAAAUAGCUUUGAGAGCAGCUCGUUGAAUUUGCUGUCAUAAACCGCUCAAAAUUGUUCAAAAUUACUGCAAAAUUGUUAAAAACUGUUUCAAUUACCAUAAAUUGCCUACAGCUAUUGAAAAUUUGAUCAAAACCACAGGAAAAAGUUUAAAACUCUUUUCAAGUAUUAUAAACUACUUAAAAUUGUGGAACAUUACUUGUCAAAACUAGUAAUUCAUAUGCUUUAUAUCUUUCAAAUUGUUGAAUUUUUGUAGCUUGUUGGUUAUCUCAGCUUGUAACUUUCUGCAUGCUUACUGAUCAAAAUUGAAUAUUGCUUACUUAUUCAAAUAUUAGCUACUUGCUAAUAAUUUCAACCUGAAAAUAAAAAGCAGCUCUACAAAUUAAGCUUGAGAAGAACAUGUCAAACCUAAAGUAGGAAAAAAAAUAAAAACAAUAUGGUAUAUCAUUGAAUCAUUUUUUUUAUAUGUAUUGUUUUUCAAGACAGAAGUUUAAUACCAAAGCUAAAGAGCAUGAACUACAGAUCAACCCUUAUCCCUCAAAAUAUAACAAAACUUUUUAAGCCAAAAAAGAAAUAUCAGAAGGCAUAAUUUACGUGUGAAACUAUGCAUCAAAACCAUACAUAAAAAAAUAUGAACAAAAUACUUUACUCCCUGCUGCUUUCAUUAACAUAAUAUAUCAUUGAAUCAUUUUUUCAUAUGUGUUGUUCUUCAAGACAAAAGUGUAAUACCAAAGAUAUAAGAAGGCAUAGAAUUACACAUCGAUCCGCUUAUACCGUCCAAAACAUAUAACAAAACUUUAUAAACCAAAAAAGAAGAUCAGAAGGUGUAAUCUUAUAUGUGAAACUAUACACCAAAACCAUAAUAUACGCAAAAGUAUUAAAAAGAUAUCUGUAUUCGCCUGUUGCUUUCAUUAACAUACUUACAUCGAAAGCUGCAUCUCCGGAAUAACCUAUAUAAAUACAAAGAAAAAACUAUUUAGAUUCUCUAUUGGAUAUAAAAAGAAGACAAUAAAGUUUGAAUAAAAACUAAACAAAUUAGCAUACACCGUCUUUACACCAGUCGACAAUUAAUGACCUUUCUUUUGCAUUUCGCACAAUGUUCUCGGACUUUUAGCUCGCUUUUAUUCCGCAGAAGGCUUAAACCUUUGUGGGCUUUCCUCUUCUCCUUUACACUGUGACUGUGUGCGUCCUUCACAAUAACAUCAACAAGUCACUUGUUUGUGUAAUGUGGAGACUCAUUAAUGUUCAUUCAACUUCUUACGUUGUACUUCAUUAGAAGGCUUGAUUGUGCGAGACGAAUUUCAUCAACAACUUUUUUAAUUAAUUGACUCAACUCAAAGUGAUCCGAAUGAUUUCGGCAGCCUUGAAUGACAAUCUCUUGCACUUUUGACUAAGUUUGCAUUAGACCUUCAUAGCCUUUAGCAUGCACAGAGUCACCCAUUCCGCUCAUUUGUAUAGAUUGAAUGUUGAAAGAUCUCCUCUGUGCAUUUUUCGUACCCAUUCCUUUCAAAGAUUUAAUCAUAGGAAUCGCAAUCAUAUUCCAAUAUAAUGCAUAGCUUUAAUAUGUGUGAAGCAUAAAAGGCCCGUAAAUUUCGAACAUUCUUAGCAAUUGCAUGAGACGCUUUUCUGUAAUCGAUUCACCUAACAAGUAUAAGUCAUUUGUAGAUUGUGUAUUAUGCAGUUAAUUUAUAUAGUGCAUUCUUUUCUAGUUUCCAGCCAUGAACUGAUCCCUAGAUCAACUUCAAUUGUUCCUUGAAUCAAAGAAAUUUUCUUUUUGUAAUAAAUAUGCACGAGCUCGCAACUUCAAUGGGAUCAUAUGAAUAAAGGCUUCCGACGCUGCACCACUCUCACCGACUGUAAUCUUCUCUCUUCUCUUGUCCGUAUCGAGUUUGGCAAUCAUUUUUCAAUUUGAAGGACAAAUUUGAUAUUGACGGUAUGGUUGUCGUAGCAGACCAAAUUUAGUGACACGCAUUAACAAUGCUUUCAACUUACGUUGCGAAGUACAGCAUGCAGCGAAGAAUAGUAUUUCGAAAAUAAACAGGCACCAUUGAAUGCUAUCUGUUCCCACAGUUAAUUGCUAGGUUUAUUAUCAUACAAGUCGAAAACUUCUGAAGCAUACAAUCCAUUAUUUCGACAACUCUUCGAUAGUAAUACUACGCAUAAUCAGAGAAAAAAGCUCUUCUGACAACCUUCCUUGAUGCUAUACGGCUAACCUAGAUGUUCCUCUUGCUUUUCGCAUAACAAAGCUAUUCCACACACGAGUCCCUCAGUCUUGCGCAGAAAGAACUUGCUCAAUUGCCUUUUCAAUGCUGAUCCUUGUCGUAAUUAUACGCCUUGGGGUGUUGGCCAAACAUUGCAUCAAUGCCAUGUACAGAAAAGAGCCAACAAAAUGGUAUUAGCGGAUUCAUUUUCUUAAUAAGCGGCAACAGACUAACAAAAAUAGUUUGCCAUACGAUGAUGAUUAACACAAAUAAAGUGCAAAUCGGAUACCUAUACUUAUUAGUCAUAUAAGUGGUGUGCAAAAGGUAAACUACAAUCGGCACAAAAUUCUUGGUAUGCCAUUCUAGAUCUAACCUCCCAACCCAAAAUAAAUUACUGCAACAUGCACUUGCUGCAUCAAUACAAUUAGGCAUAAAAAGAUGGAUCUCCUGCGUUUGUAGCUGACGAAAAUGGUUAAUUGUCAAGGUACAUCAACACCAAGUAGUGAUCUAUUCUUCUGUUACCACAUUCGCUUAAAUCCUUUUUGUGAAACAGAUACAUUAUAUGCUCCUCCUCUCGUGGCUAGGCGAUGAAUAGACAUAAAUUUGAGAACUGGAAAUAUUUUGCUACACUUAACAACUGCGGAGCCAAGUCUUUUUGUUGCUUUGUCAUCGAGCGUUGGGAUCGCAGAAACGAGAUUUUGAAAGGACUAUUGAUCAAACAUGAUUAUGCUCCUUCCGAAACGAGUUACUUUCCACUUGCCAGUAUGACGUCAUUUAUAUCCGAAUAUGUGCUUUUAGCAUCCUGUUCGAGUGUAUUGGAUCUCUGUUGUGGUACAUCUUACCUCAAAUUUCAUGUCGUGUUUAUAAUGACAUCCUCUUAUAUCUAUAAAAUAAAUAAAUGUCAAUCUAACAUGCAAAAUGUGCCUCCAGUACAGUCGGUACAUAUUCCGGAAACGAAUCGUACGUCCUAAAACCUUUUUCUUGCAUAGAUAGAAAUUGCACAAUAAUGAGCUCUGGUCUAAUACCUAAAACCACAACCAAUUUUAAUAUCUAUAACAGGUCAGUAUUGGUCGCCACUAAAUUAAGUAAAUAGCUAAAUAUGUACAAGAAAGUGAUCUUUGCUCACUAUUUGCGAUCAGAUCCAACAACAGACUACACUAUAAACCUAAUUUACUAUCAUUUCAUACUACUAGGCUAGCGCUGAGACAGUUGUUCAUAAUACUGGAACGAGAGAUGUUGUCAUCCUUCACAAACCAGUACCAAUAGAGAAACCACAUAUACAUCUAGAGGUAACACCAUCUCGGCUUCUUCUCAAUUAGUGGAGAAUUCAUCUAGUUUGCCGAUGCACCUUAUCAUAUUCAAGUUGCACAAUUAAAAUUAUCUGUAUCUUUUGACACACCUUGAAGUUUAGCCUUGAUAUUUUGGCUAUUGUUUCAUAUGUUUGUCAUUCCAGCUUUCCUUAUCAUCGAAGAUCUAAUACGUAUUAUAAAAUCUAAUCAUCACAUGGUUCUAUAUUGCAAAUUUAAUAGGCCUUCAAUACCGAAAUGUGAGUAUUUAAUUUAGAGAGCACGAAGUGGCCAAUCAACAGCGAGAAUGAGUAAUGUAUAAUAUGAGCACAAUCUACAACAAUAAAAUACAACAAACUAUUUAUAGAUCUCAUAAACUGAGAGUAAAUAUGCGUACGCGCGUAAUACCUAUAAACAGUAAUAAAAGAAGUAUCUUUCCAUAUUUGUUAGUACAAAUCAAGGCAACACAGCAUAUACAUAUUAUUAUUCUCUCAUGCGAACAAAGAGUAAUAGCAAAUUAUAUUAGGUUAUAGAAAGCAGGAAUUAGUUAAUGGAGCGAAAGGAUGACCUGAAAAGAAUGAAACAAGGAUUUGAAAUGAAAUAGAAGGAAAGUACAAGAGAGAAAGAUGUCAAAAAAGUAUAAAAAGGUCAAUUACCUUACACACACUUCCAUAACUCUCGUUCCAUAAGACACUCUCUAUAACUAUUCCAGAUAUCCGACAACUAGUUGUGUCAAUGCCUAGAAACUAUAGGCGAAAAGAUCGAGACCACGCAGCUUGCAACGACUAACUCCAAUGUUUAUCACAUUCUAAGGCUGUGGUACCUACGAACAAUAUCCAGACGUACAACUCAGCUUAUAUGAAAGCGUUCUCUAAAUUACUACACUGGAGUGUGAAACGACUAGAGGCUCGUUCUGAUCUUUGGUCAAGCGAGGACGAGGUGCUGUAGAAGGUGGAUUAAAUGUGGAGACACCCGAAUCGGGACAAUAUCAGAAAGCACUUUUUUUAACAAGAAAUCAAACGUAACCGCUUUUCAACAGAUCACAACCACAUGAGAAUUCUAGGUGGGACAGUUAGCGCCCUAUGAUGGAAAAAAAAACAGUUUGACUGACUCCUAACUGCUGUUUCCGAUGAAGAUACUACAAUCUUUCUCGUCAUUUCAAUGAUUACUCGAAAUCCACAGAUUGAGUAAGAACCUAAUUAUAAUUAUUACUAUAUGCUCCGUACUACUGCGCUGCUUUUGAUCCGAGCAGCAUUCCCAACUAAUCGGCACGGACAAAAAAUGAUAGUAAAAAAUCCAUUUUACUACCGAUAGGCAAAACCAGCACACUCUAAUACCCCUAUAAUAUACGAGAGAGUUGAGUUAAAAUUUGGCACAAAUUGAUGUCAAUACCUUAUUUCAACAAGAACCAAUAACCAUAAAUAUAACAGGUUUACUACAAUUAGACCACUUACUCAGAGCCACUCAACACGUUUAGUAGAUAACUUUGAUCACAUUGACUACUUCAAUCUCACUACACAUUAACCAAAUUCCGAUUAUCUUAUAUGAAGAGUAUAAAUGCAAAAGUACUUAUCGAUAUCAGAUCACGACUACUCGCGAUAUGACACGAUUAAAAUAUUGUCAAUAUGUGAAUAUCAAAAAUAUUCUGAUGAUCACAUUACAAUUUUACAUAAUUUUUUGACAGAUAACAAUCUAUACAAACUACGAUGCGAAACCAAAACACUAAAGCACUACAAAUAUAAACCAUAAUUUUAUAUGUGCACGCUGCGUAUAGUAACAGAUAAUACUUGCUAGAUUAAUGGGUCAAACCAGUCACUUUUAUAUCAACCCGAAUAUUAUCUGGAUACAAAUUUAGUUAGAUAAGCAUAGAAUUAAUAAUUCUUAUUUUCACUAUACUAGAUACAAUGAUUGCAACCUUAACUGUCGAAUAUUAAAGUUGAAACGAUUAUCGAAUCACGAUAAACUACAGUUAACUAGAUCUCUUCAUCAACAUUUGGUCGUUCAUUUAUGCCCAGAAUUCGCUUAAUUCGAACAAUAUCUCGGAAAAAAUCAUUCAGAAAAUAAUUCAAGCAUUGCAAAUGUUCCUAAUUUCAAAGUAUAUGCAAUAUUACUACUAAAUUGAUUAAUCUAAGGUACAUUUUCGUCUGAGAUUUCGUUCACAAUGCGAACCUCGACAUCUAACAGUACGUAAAGAACCAAAUAAUAUAUUAUAAAAUAUUCAAUAAUAUACGCUAGUACCAGAUACUCAUCCCCGAAGAGGUGAGAUAAAUAAUGUAGCACACCUAAACAUUAUAGAUAUGUACAAUCCUUUACAUACAAGAUAUCAGCUAUAUAAAACGCAGAGAGAGAGGAGAGAAAAGACACAACAAUAGAAGAAGAGAGAGAGAGAGAACUAACUACAGAUUGUGCCUAGAAGCAAUAUAAGUAGUAGCAUACGAGAACGAUUUGAUGUAUCUGAGGUAGUACAAAAGAGAAUUUGACGAGAACCUAAGAGUAACAUUAUUAACACAUAAUACUCCUAAUUAUGUUCUAUUAUGUCACGCGAUAUUGUUAAGUCAUUGGUGCUUUAAAUAUACAGAAAUUUUUACCGUGCUCUAACCAACGUUGAAAAGUAGGCCUAUAAAGAAUCCGGGACGACAGUUAGAUGAUGUGGCAACCCUAGGGUUGAGUGGCGUGGUUGGUUGAAUAUAUAAUCUAGGGUGCAAAAUGAUCAAAGGCAUUAGAUCUAAUUCUAAUAUAUCUAUUAAUUAUAACAAGUGACCAGCACGAGUUGGCGCAAUGCUUGGUGCUACAUUUACAAGCCCAUAGCCGUAUAGGACUCUAUUAUAUUUAUUUAGGUACCAGGCACAGUUACAUUAUUUUUAUUACUCACUAAUUAUUCAAUUCAGAACAAAAGAGUAAAACUAAAUUAUACGUAUGGUCUUAUACCUAAUUAUAAGGUAGGUUGUGUUGGACCCCAUGCGACAACAGCUUAAUCCUUCUCCUUCGAUUAUUCUGCGAAACGUCACAGAACCCCUGCAACAGCGCAGUGUCCAACUCCUGGAUCUCGUUCUCUGUAAUCCUCAAUGCAACUUUGGCUAUUUCUGUCUUCCGCUCUUCUCUUAAGGCUCAAAGGAAUCCGGACCCCCUGACUCUCUCCUCCCCUCUCGUUUUGCUUAUUAGUCUACAAAAUGCGAUUAUUGCCUUUUUAUGUACCUGGAAAAUACCAUCGCUCUGUUAUUCUAAUAGGAGAGACCAUAAAAGCUAAGGCUACCACGCGACCUGUAAAACCAGCUUAUUCAUCGUACUAAAACUUAUUGAAUGAAGGAGACCACCAGAUCACACACUUAGACUAACCCGAGUUGUGCCCUAACAGUAUAACUUUGCACACAGCUACUUUUCUCCAUUCUUAUCGAAUGCACAAAGAGAUAUUAUACUGCAAUAUCAUAUAAUUAUUAUAAUAUUUGUUAUAUUGUUCGAGUUUAGAUUAGUAUUUAUCUUAACAUAUAGGUGAGUUCACAAUCUUACACUAGUAAUUAGGGAUGUAUAUAUAAUUUUUAGGAUUAGAUUUAAUUGCAUAAUAUGGAUUAUAAUGUAGGAGUAUAAACGAGUAUCACUAAGGUUAGAACGUAUUCAAACGUCCUAAUUAGCUUGAGACAAAUGAAUCAAACGAACAAGCAUUAAACUAGUCAGUUGCGCCCUAAUUAGUAUAAAAUUUGUUACGAGUACUUUAUUCUUACAAUAUACUAAAUUUCGCCUAACGGCUACAAUUUAAGAGUAGUAAGACACACCCUAAUUACACUUAUGCGUAGACCUAUGCCCCCGAGAGUGAAAUUAGAGACACAAUAAUUUGAUGUAAAGCAAGCCAAUAUGCAAACUUACAUCAGAACAUGAGUAGUAGCAAAACUCUGAAGGAAUUGCGAGAAGGCAUUCCAAGAUCGCAUCACUACACUAUUAAGAUAGGGCACGUCCUAAUUAAGUCAAGCCGUAGCAUCUCUUCGGGCCUGGUGGUCAUGGUGCUCUAAUAACCAUGUACUAAUUGAAAGUGUUGAUGUCGUAGCGUUAGAGUGAUAUUGACGGCCCGCAGUACUAAUGCAAGUGAAACCAUAAAGAAGAACUUUGAGAAAAUUUGACAUUAGUUCUAUGAUAUACUCUCAAACUAUCUAAUUCACGAGUCGAACUAGCGAGAGUAUAGAGUACACCGAAGACGGUGAUGAAGAGCCUACUGUUCCGUUAUUAUGGAGUGAUGCUAUGAUUGUUCUAUUAUAUGCGACACUGGCGUUGUCGAGAUAUCUAUAGUUAAUAGAAUUUUUGAGGACUGCUAAUUGCAGCGAAGAUCUACGUUCUCACUUCAUACAAUGCGUAACUAACCGGGCAAUUUUCAAGCAAUUUAAACCUACAUAUUUGAAGUGCUUGCGCCCUACCGUCUAGAGAGCUACCACUGUUUGCAACCAGUAGCGUUAUUCUCAUGUAGUGUACCGUCUGGACAGCAAAACCACGUAGAUAGAUCAAGGAGUCGUAAAUUCACUUAUCCUCUGCUUCAUACUUUUCUUUUCUCUAGUAAGCUACUAGUGUGUAUAACUCGAACAGUAUAUACUCAGGUCACCCUUCACACAGAAUUUUAACAACCGAAUAAACAUUAGACUAUCAGAUUUGCGCCUAAUAGUAAUAAACUAAGUUAUCUGUUAUAGCGAGUCAUGCUUCUUACUUCAUUCACUCCUUGAAGGAUAAAAGAGUAAAAUCGAUAACCGAAUUUCUGAUAAGCUUCAAAUAUUCUAUACAUGAGGACCACCACCAGGUCUAUGCAGCUCUAUUAUUUUGGCAGCAAAAUUCAUGAAUGAUUCAACCUGCUACAUACGAGAGGAAACCACAAAAACGAAGAGAACAUUUUAGACCGUACACUCAGUGUGCCCUAGACAGAAUAGGCACGUUAGUUUGGCAACGAGUAAGUGCUGCGAGUCAAUCGAACAAAGAGUAAAAGCUAAUUUAAAUAAUUGUUCAUAACACAUGAAACUCGCUCGAGAGUGUCACGUAUAAUUGGGAAACGACACAGGCAACGUCAAAGCGAGGAGAUUGAUGAUAACAGUCAUACGGCAAUACACAACUAUAAGAAUUCAUAAAACCCGAUGAGGGUAAUUACACGCGAGAGCUACUUUAGAUGACUAAUAUGACGCCACGCUACAGGCUUGCUUAAAUGUAGCUCGCUCCUCCAUAAUUAGGAUCAUAGCAUAUAGUAAGUCAGUACUUUCUUUCCAAUCCAUUCAAAUCGAGCAAGAUCAUAUAAAAGAUAAGAAACUGAACAAUAUUUAUAGCGUCUCCUAUAUCAAUUAUCGUCGCGAGAAUGUAAAAUUAUUGGCACAAAAUUGAGAUGUCAAACACGGUACCCUUCCCCAAGAAACCAAAAACCGGAAACAACUUAGACCACUCAGUUGCGGCCCCCCUAUACAGUAUAAUUGGCAACAGUACCUUUCCGUCUAAUCCAAAAUGUCGCAUUGGAAGAGAGUAAUACACAAACGAGAGUUAAAUAAUCUAUAUUAUAAUAUAUCUUCCGCUCGCUAUAGAAUUUAGUUGAAACGACGGAGAGAGGACGAAGGCCCGUUUAUUAUUAUUUCUCUAGCCACCCUCUUAUAAGGAAUUUCGUGAGACGUCUCUCUGUUUGGCCGAAUUGUUUAAACAAGUAGAUUAUGAAGCUCAAUUGGCUCGUAUCAACUCGUGUAGAGAAAAUACUACGUAGCUAUCCAAACCGUGUAUACAAAUAGAGAGAGAUAGCAUUAGCCUCAGAUAGAUGAAGUGUUGCGCAGCGCAUAAGAACAAAUCAAAUGGUAUGGAACUUCUGAGCAAGACAGCAGUAAGCGUCUUGCCUCGAUUUACGAAGUAGGCGGUCUACCAAAGAGUAAAAGGGCGAUAGAAGUUCCGGUCAUAGGCUAGAAUUGAUUAGCCACUCGAUGACUGAAUAUACAAUAUAGCAUGCAAUAGAAGUGUCACAAGAAGUUCUGUAGCAUAGUAUAGACGUUGAUUAAGAGCCAAGAAGAAGGGUCGAGCAAUAAAAGCUACAAUUGUAGUCAAGCUAGCAAACAAUAUAUAUGUGCUGCCUAAAGCAGCGUAAUGAAUAAAUAUUGGUGCACAUCCAGUACUAUUCUUCAUCAAUAUCUUAUACGAAACAUAGAGAAAGAGAUGCCAAAUUAUAGAACCACACUGUAAUGCUAACUUAUGGUACAGCCACGGAAGCAAGUGGUAUGCAAUUUUGGAACGAAAUCGACGUAGCAAACAUCCUUAGCACAAGAAUCUAAAGCAGUAAAAACUCAUAUCCAUUAAAAGUCUUAGUUUAACACAUGGCUAGCCCAUAAUCAAUACAAACGCUAUAGCAGACAGGAAUAUUGUUGAGCGAAGUACGUGUUCUUCGGAAUUCAAUCGAACAACACAAGAUGAAAAUCUUAUUAUUAUAUUCUAUAUCUGACACUACAUAAUGACCAAUCCGGGUACUCAGUGAGAGAUGCGAUAACUAAAAGUCUCGAUGUCAUCUAUUGAACUGUGUCGAAUGUACUAUCACGAAUGAAGGCAAACAAACAACUCCCUAGGAGAUGACACAACACUAUAUUACCUACUGCAAGUUGCGCCACCCUAUUCGGUGAGAGUACGAAUAUGUCAGUUCGAGAAUAAUGAGCAUGCAACGGUGUAAGCCGACCUAUUUCUUGUUUACGAAUUCGCAUCGCGACACCAAUAAGUAAACCGAGAUCUAAUUAUAAUAGAGAUAAUCCGUAAUUAGUCUCAAUCUCGGGCUACCGACUUUAAAUAUUAAAACUAAAUGGCUUGUCAACACCGGCUUUAAGUAUUCUUCAGUUCAGGAUAAAAGAGCCAAAACCAGAAGAAAGUCGACUACAAGGGAAUCUUGCUAGUGAAUGAGGCCAGACUCCAAUCCGACAUGUUAAUGUUCUACAGGGUUCCACUGUGACAGGUUCAGCAGCGGUGACUCUUCCUCUAUGUCAAUUCGUAUAGCACCCAGAUUAUGACCAUAUGCGACUGGGCCAUAUGAGUGAAUAUGGCAAUGAUAGUUGGGCGAGAGAGGUUUACUGGAUCAAGUUUAGAAAAGUUGGACUUACCUAAUUGAGACGAGUCACUAUUGAGUCUUUCGUCUGCAGCGCAAACAAAAGACUAGCAAGACUUUAAGAUUUUGGCCGAGGCCAGUCACGUUCACUUCGAAUCACUACAAUCACACAAUUCUGGACUAGUCCGAGAUCACAUAUGCAGUAACAUUAGCAAAAUAGAGGAUUCGGUUUUCUACUCGAGGUGACCCCCAACUCAUCCAGGAGUUAAUUUAGAAGGAAGAUUAUAUUCUGAUUAUCAAUUUGUGUACAGGUAAUAUCCGAAAAAUUUCCCGAGAAAAACAAUUUAGACUUAUCUCCUUCAGUUGUGCCCUGUAACAAAUUGUAAUAGACUCUGUUGAAUCAUUAUCUUGUACUCAAAAUGCUAAAGCAUAGGAUUACUAACAAAGAGUAAUAAUCUUUAUAUCUUAUAAGCAUAUGGAUUAUCGUAUCUAUUCCUCGAGAGUAGUAGAGAUAUAACUAAUUGCAGCACCGAGAAGAGAGUAAGGAACAAUCAAAACGCACUUUAUCAAACGAGACGAAUCAAAACCGGAGCAACACAUUAAACGAAGUUCGGAACUAUUGCGUCCCUAUCAGAGUUAUAAAUUGUUAUCGAGCUACUUUUUCCUACGAUUCAUAUUUACAGAAUUACUAGAGCAAGAAUAAACCUAAAUUGAAAGCUAGUAUCGCUAUUAUUGCGACACUACGAGAGUGUAAAAUUAGCACAAUUGACGUCAACCUGGUUAACGACAAGAACCAAACACCGAACAUCAUACUCCCAACACAUUAGAGACCACUUCCUUGGCAGCAACCGGAGUAGGCGACCAGUAGUAAAUCGGUGCCACACUGAAGUAAGUUAUACUCUAAAUUCAUGGAGAGGGGACACAAAGAGAGUAAACCUAUAUUAUUAUUUGCUCUCUAAUUGCUAGUGCCGACCUGAGGCGAAAGUAGAUUUGUGUACGUAGCGAGUGUCUACGUUCACACGAACUCAAAACCGCGAGGAAGAGCGAGACGAGUAUCUUAGACUUCAAGACGUGCACACCCGCUUAGCUAGCUAGAAUAACUCGCAAACCAUCUCUACUUUGUCUCAUUUUACUCGAACAAAGUAGUACAACAUUAAAGCACACAUGAUACAAAAAACUCCGAGGAGCGAGGUAUGUUCCCAUGGAUACGCCCUCUUGAAUCUGAUUGAGUUAAAUUGGAACAGUAAAUAGCGAACUGAGUUGAGUUCAAUUGUCCUGCAUCAUCACUUAAUGAAAUCAAAACCGGAAAUUACAAAGAACGAUCAUAAGUAGAUAAACGUUACGCUAAAAAGUGCAUGUUUAUGAUUCGCAAUCGGGGUCUAAGGAUAUAGAUUGUGUGUCCUGACAUACGUCUAAAUUAUUCAUAGUAGGAUCAGAUUGGCUCAUCAUUUUCGAUGAAUCUUAAAUCAUGAUGAUUUAUAUCCUAACCGUAAAUAUAGUAACUUACUUAUUUUUUUCAGAAUUGUACAUCGACGGAAGAGUAAAACCUAAUUAUACCUUAGAUGCUAGCUAGUCAUAGGUGUAUAUCCCGGUAGGAAGACACGCUGUAAAUUUGGCACAAAUUGAUGUCAGGCGACUGUUUAUCCAAGUUCAAAGCAAACAGACCUGGUCUUCUCACAUCAGAAAAUAAUGUUCAACUAUCUCGCAGUUUGCCUAAACAGGCAGAAUCACGCUCACGGCUUUAGCACUGGAAGUACCACUUUUCUUGCGUUACAAAGUUUGCAGAAGCAGACAUUGCUACAGGCACAAGAGCGAGAGAUAGAGACAAGAUCUAUCAUCAACCACAGAUGAUAUUCUAUGUUGAUGCCUACCGAUGAAGCUAUAAUGUUCGCGUUAUAGCUCAUCAGAUGACAUCGAGUGUCACCAGAUAGCGAGAUGAAAGAAAGAGCCAAAACGCGACAUAUAUAUCCAAAUCUAUUCGGGGCAGAUCAUUUCAUGAGCACUAGCUAGUGGAGGUGUUGCGCCUGUAAACGCGGUAUAGAUGAAUGAGGAGAGGAGUCUUCUCUCACCAGCCAAGAUGAAUCACUUUUUGCUCACCAUCGGAAAGUUGGUAAAUCGAACACCGACCAAUAAACAGAGGAGCAAAAAGAAAAAUUGUCACUGAGCGUAGAGUGGGUCAUCAUUAUGCCUCCGACAAGAGAAUAAGUGGUAACAUGGUAUAGGUAAGCGAAUCCGACGUGCGCCAAUGGUGCGACCUAGGGGAAACGAUAAACACAACGGUAGUAAAACAACCAUCAGAUCCUAUUUAGCAGUUGUGCUCUUCCCUAACAGUAUAGGCUCAGUGCAAAGUAGAACAGUUUUGCAGACCGAAUUUAUCUAAUUAUUAUCCUCAUCUCACUCGACACACAAGAGUAAACGAGCUAUUAUACCGUCGUAUAGAGCAUCAAACUUCUAUUUGUGUUUCUUCUUUAAUGCCCGUGCAGUAGAGUGUAAGAUCUGGAACGAAAUGGACUCAACCAUGAUGACCCUGUAUCUUAGCAGGGCUUGAUGUUUAAGACAGCUUUCUCAUGGAGAACUUGAGGAGCAUUUAAUAUGAAAAGCUACAAGAAUCAACAGGAUCAACAUAAACUAGUCCAGUUGACGCCCUAAAUAACAAUUGUUUACGAGUAUUUCUCCAUUCAAUCGAACAAAGAGUAAAAACAAUUAUAUUAAUUCUAUUAGUGUGCCCCGCGAAGUCGUAAUAUUUGCACUAAAUUUGAUGUCACUUCAUCACAAGAACCAAAACCGGAAGCCGGAGGGAUUCAUGUUGAAGACAGGAGGAACCAUUUUUGCCUGUUAAGAAAUCGCUUAUGGCUUACAAGCAGUUCCUCGGCAAUGGUAUAAACGGUUCGACUCCUUAUGACAGGUCACGGAUAUUCCAGAAGCAAGCGUGACAGUUGCGUGUAUUUUCAGAAAGCUUGAUAACGGGAUCAUUUCAUAUAUCUGUUGGUUUUUUUUUUUUGUUUUUUUAUUUUUUUUUUUUUUUUUUUUUUUUUUUUUUUUUUUUUUUUUUUUUGUUUUUUUUUCUUUAUGUCGAUGGAUAUGUUAAUAUGCUUCCAGCGACAUAUGUUUGACGAAACAAUUAAAAUUAAGACCCUUUACUGAAGGGUGAGUUUGAGAUGAAAGAUCUAGGUGCUUGCUAAGAAAAUCUUGGUAAUGAACAAAUUAAGAGGGAACAAUAAGUCCAGACUACUGCAUUUGAGCACCACAGAGAAAUAUAAAUAGAGAAGAUUUUAAAACGUAUUCGGGAUGACAAGACGCAAAAGCCGGUGAAGCACACCUUUUGCGGCGCCAUUUCAGACUUUCCGCCGAGUUAUCACCGCAAUCCGAUGAAUAGAGGGGGGGGGGGGGCGGGGNNNNNNNNNNNNNNNNNNNNNNNNNAUAUAUAUAUAUAUAUAUAUGUUGCGAAAUAAUAAUAAAAAAAAAAAGGUGGUGUAGCUUAAAUAGUGGAGAGCUCUCAUAUGGCCGGACAAGUACACUCCACACGCUGCACCUAAUUGGAUAAUCAAUCAUUUAAAUAGUAUGAUUUAUCCCUGUAGAUGUAAACUAUAAUGUCUAACUAGUAAACGAAAAAAAAAAAAUAUUUUAAAAAUCUAUUAUUUAGAUAUCAAGUGACUCAGAAAAAAAAGGACAAAAAAAAAAGCAUUAUUUGAUUUAUAAAUUUUUAUGGCCAGACAUUAAUUUUAGAAUUCUUAUUUUCAGACAUCCAAAUUUAGUGCUGCUGUAUUAGACGUAUAUUGUGCACAUAAUAUUUGAUAAUAAUAAUUUAUUAUAAAAUUUUAAUUUGGUAGAUACGAUUAAUAAUAUUGAGUACCAAUGUCUCUUCGCGCGUCAUCUAAUGGCCAAUUUUGAGCCAAAUAUUUUUCGCCCUAGACUAGCUGUGUAACAUUCUGGAUUAUGGCCAAUUUUGAGCCAAAUAUUUUUCGCCCUAGACUAGCUGUGUAACAUUUCGGAUUAUAGCGGAAACUUGCGUGGCUGUAACGAUCCAGUCCACUAGCAAUAAUAACUCGUUGGGUCUAACCGCUGGCCCAAAAUAUUUAAGCCCAUUCCUAUCCGAUGAGGGAUUAUUGGAUGUCAUUCCUAUCCGAUAUUCGGAUAUGGGAUUAUGGCCCUGACGUCCUCGUCAGGCCAAUCACAGAUGAUGUGGAUUAUUGCCCUGACGUCCUUGUCAGUCCAAGCACACACAACCCAAGAUGUCUCGCUAGCCUUGUCAUUCAGACCCUGAUAUAGUCGGUCACCUUGUCAUACAGUAACCUAUCACCUUGUCUUUCAGACCCUGACUCAGUCGAGACUCGCCACACAUUUUCGGCUGGUGUUGGCUCUGAUACCAAAUGUACGACCUAGCCCACUAGCAACAAUAACUCAUUGGGUCCAACCACCGGCCCAAAAUGCUUAAACCCAGUUAUUAUUACUAGUGUCUAAGUAUCUUAUAAACCCAAUAACAUUCACAUUUCUAUCCGAUGUGGAAUUUUUAGGCUGUGACAGUGGCAUGCAAAUAUAUAUAUAUAUAUAUAUAUAUAUAUAUAUAUAUAUAUAUAUAUAUAUAUAUAUAUAUAUAUAUAUAUAUAUAUAUAUAUUAUAUAUAUAAAGCAUAAAUUCGCCAAUCUCAAUCUACGGCCUAAAAAGAUUGUGAUCUGUGGAUUGAAGUCAGAAGAUAAGAAAUCAGUAGGACGGUACACAAUGCUCACCCGAGAGACUGUUGAGGGCAUGUUUUUAAUGCUUGAUGGGUGUACUACAGCGUAGAACACCAAAGCCCAAGUAGUUUUAAUUUAUUUGUACUCCCUGCUGUUUAUGGGGCCCUAAUUGCUAAAGAGCCCCAAAUAAGAGGCCCAAGUGAAAAUGCCCGUUUCACUUCGCCUCGAAUUCGAAUAAACGCGUUUCCGAAGGGCUCUUUUCGUGUCGAUUCGAUUUCAAACUAGGAGGUGUUGUUCUCUUUCAGGGCUCUACUUAAACCACCACAUGUCACCGUUCACAGUCGGAAUCUUCUCUAGCCUCCUCUCUCUCUGACUCUCUCUCUCUCUCUCUCGGGUCUCUCCUUUCCUUCCUAUUUGAGUCGUUAUAACCGCAUAAAAAAAUUAAAAAUUAAUAUUAAAGCACGCCAUCUCCCGGCGAAUCCGCUGAAUCCCAGCACACCUCUCCAUCUUAAAGAUUUCCCCCCUUUCGAAUCCCAAUCCCUCUCUCNAUAUAUAUAUAUAUAUAAAAUUUUAUUUAUAUAAAAUACUAAUUUUUAUUAUUUGAUUCAUAGUCUAACUUUAAUAUAAAGUCCAACUUAAUUAUAAAAAGUCUAUUCAUAUGUAAAGUGUCAACCAUUAGAUCAAAGUCUAAUCGGUAAGAUCUUAUAAAUUAAUGUUUUACAUAUAUUAUUUCUAAUCUUUUUAACUUGUUGCUCGUGAGAUAGCUCGUGUUCAGUUUGUUAAUAAUGAAUUGAAUACGAGCUGAAUUUUUUGGCUCGAUUUUUUAAUAAGCUAGCUCGCCUAGUCGCUUAUGCGGCUCGUUGACACCUAUGAAUGUAAAAUGGGUCGGGCCGCCUGGCCAGGCACAACCUCGGCUGGGCUACAGCGUGGUGCCGGCCCGGCCCAAGCUUCAGGCCGUCCUGGGCCUCUCCCCUUGGGCCUAAUGGCCGAGCACGGCACGGCACGGCACGACACGGCCCGAAACGGACACAGACAAUGCCGGGCCGAGCCAAAGGGAGGCUCGUGGCCUGGCAUGACACGGCCUACUUAGACUGGGCCAGCACGGCCCAAAACCUAUGGCCCAAGUCAACAUUCCUUGGGCCUUGGAAUCUGAGCUUCUGUAGCUAUCCUCCCAAGGUCUGCCGGACCUUGGGAGGAGACUUUUGGUCCAAUGGACUAAACAAACAAGUUUGGUCCAUUAGACCAAAAACUAUCUCAAUUUCUUUUUUAAAAAAAUAAUAAAAAUUUAUAUAUUUCUAAAAUAAUUAAAAAAUUGUUAUUUUAUGAUCAUUUUUGUAAAUUUAAAUUUUUUAAUCAAAAUAUUAAUUUAAAUAGAAAUAAUUUAUUAUUUAUAUUUUAAAUUGUUUAUAUUUUUUUUAAAAAAAUAAAAAGAUAAAAACUUUAAAGGGCUGACCUGGAGCACGGGUCAGCUCGGCACGGCUCUUGCCUUCCGGCCCCCUAGGGUCGUGCUUGGCCGAAGACUUAGUAGCUCUGCCUGGCACAGGCCGAUCCGAAUUUGGAACCAGGCCGACCCCUAGCCCGAUUCGGCCCGGCUAAUGUGGACCAUGCCGGGCUACACCCCCUAUCAACACCCCUACCUAAAAAUCAUUGUCAUAUUCAACAACUUUCGAAUGAGAAAUCCUACCUAAAAAGAGAAAAUUAAGGUAUUGUUUGGUUCGAGUAUGAGUAAGAACUGUCUAUUUCAGGAAUAGGUAUAAAUUCAGGUAUAAGCAAGAAUUAGAUCAAUUUUGCGUUUGGAUGAAAAUUAAGUUGUUAUCGGAAAUAAAAAAAAAUAGCGUUUUGAUAGAGAAGAUAAAAUAAGAAGGAUAAUGGGUACUUAUAAAUAAAAAAUAGUGAUAUUACCCUUUGAUUAUAUUUGAAUUUGAAUUUGAAUUUUUAAAUUUUCUAUUUAUAUUUUUAAAAUUUAAAUUUUAACUUUAAAAUUAAAAUAUUGAAUUAAAAUUUAAAUUUGAAAUCUCAAAUUUAAUUUAAAUUUUUAAAUUUUAAAUUUUUCAACUUUAAAUUAAGAUAAAAAUUAAAUUUGAAAAAUAUAAAGAUCAAAAUUUAAAUUUAAAAAAUUUAAAAUAUCAAAUUUAAAUUAAAAUGUAAAAUUUUGAAUUUAAAUUUGAGAUUUAAAUUUAAAAUUUAAUUUCAAAUUUUGAAAUUUAAAAUAAAUUUAAAAUUUUAAAAUAAGAAUAAGGUGGGACAAUUAUAAAAAUAAUUUAUUAUAAUAAAUUUAUAAAUUUGAUAAAAAUAAUUUUUUAAUAAAUUUAUAAAUUUUUUAUUAUUAAUAACUUUAUAAAUUUUUUUAAAAAUUAUACUUAAACUUAAAUUUAAUAAAAAUAAUUUAUUAUAAUAUAUAAAUAUAAUUUAUUAUAAUAUUUAGAUGUGGUACCCCUGGUGUUAUGCAGCCGUGAGAUUUCAGUAUCUGAGGCUCGUCGACACAUCUGAAGAGUGUCGGGACAAGUCCGAAUCGUUUUGGCGCAAAAUGGACGCAAAACGGACUCAGUGCGCGCGAGAGCAGAGUUUUGACAUUGAAAUCUGCAAAGUGCAGAUUUCUGUGCUACGUACCGGUACUACACAUGGGAGUACAGGUACCCCUGUAUAGAUUUUUUUGACUGUUGCUCUCGGGUUGCGAUUGUUGAUGCGGGUACCGGUACGGCAUCGGUCUGGUACCGGUACUCCAGGGUAGGUGAGGGGCCUUUUGGUCUUUUGAUGUAUCAUUCAAACCGAUGCCUCCNUAUUAAUAACUUUAUAAAUUUUUUUAAAAAUUAUACUUAAACUUAAAUUUAAUAAAAAUAAUUUAUUAUAAUAUAUAAAUAUAAUUUAUUAUAAUGGAGGAUCUAGUAUCCCUGGUGUACUGCAGCCUGUGUGAUUUCAACACCUGAGGCUUGUCGACACAUCUGAAGAGUGUCGGGACAAGUCCGAGUCGUUUCGGCGCAAAAUGGCCCAAAACGGACUCAGCGCGACGCGAGAGCAGAGUUUUGACAUUGAAAUCUGCAAAGUGCAGAUUUCUGUGCUACGUACCGGUACUACACAUGGGAGUACAGGUACCCCUGUAUAGAUUUUUUUGACUGUUGCUCUCGGGUUGCGAUUGUUGAUGCGGGUACCGGUACGGCAUCGGUCUGGUACCGGUACUCCAGGGUAGGUGAGGGGCCUUUUGGUCUUUUGAUGUAUCAUUCAAACCGAUGCCUCCUAAGCCUUCUUAUACAUGCAGAGAGCAUAGAGAAGGGGUUUUAGCUUGCUGUUCUCUCUCUCCCUCUGGUUUUUGAUCGCACUCGAGGAGGUGGUCGCUGUUGGAGCUCGGAUCAACGUCGACGUUGCGCCAGUGAGCCGUUCCAGCGUGCGUUCGUUGUAGUAGCGCCGUUGGAGGUCAGGCGAGUUCUUGCCGUCGUUGGAUUAGCUUUUGAGGUGGGUUGAAGUUAAAUUACUGGAAUUUUCGGAUUUCCUCCUAAGCCUCAGUUGACAGCAUGUAUUAUUGGAUUUUGUAUAUCAUGUUUAAUAACUCGAAUUCGUGAAUUUGUAUGUUCUUUGAAAUCUGAAUUUGGAGCCUAGUUAUUGGUUUAAACAAAUUGUACAUGUUGGACUUGAAUUUGACUUAGGAGAAAAUCAUAACUUCUACACUGUCAUUUUUCUAAAAAUUAUCAGAUUUAAUUUUAGGAGCUGUAGUUUGUUUGUAUCGUCGCAGUUUAUAGGCGGUGGAUAUCCAGAAUAGUGUAAAAUAAAUUUACGCUCGUGCUGGGAUGCCGAGUAUAUUUUUACAGUAGUGUAUAGACUGUUCCGGACUGUUGGGUACCGUUGUGGUUGACGGUGGACCCAGUUUGCUGUUUUUGCAUCAGAUUGUGCCGAGGGUAUGUUUAUUAUAAUUAUUAGACCAGUUAGACCCUUCUGCUUUGAUUAAAGCCUGUGAGAGCCUGAUUGAGCUUGGCAGAGAUACGCUUGCAUACUCGGUUGGGUAGCGCCCACGAGUGCCACUUCGAAGUCGGGCUUUGUGCUGUUGCGUUGUUGUCGUUGUGUCCUAUUUGGACUUGUUCUCCACUGACGACCCAGCGUGGUGAUAGUUAGUGUAGCUUCAGCAGGCGGGACGGAUGUGUUCAUAGUCCCUAGUGAGAUUAGGUCAGAAAUUGCAUAUUUUCUUCUACAGAUAGUUAGUGUUGGAUCGUGAUAGUAUAAUGGCAUAUAGCUAUAGAGAUUUCCAGCUUUCCUUACUAUCAUUGAGCAUACUUCUGUAGACUUAGUGGGUGAGCCGUUGAGGUCGUAGCGGUACCCACUGAGGACUACUUCUUUUUGCAGUAGUUCUCACACCCAGUUGUUGACCCCUUUUUGCAGAGCCUCCUUCUUCAGUUGCUGCUGUUGCUGAUUCUAAUCGUGGAAAGGGAGCCGCGAGCUACAUCGCUUCCAGUUUUGUUGCUGCUAGAGGAGUACCAGCUACAAGUAGUUUUGAAUUUUUGGGUCAUGUACAUACUGAUGUUAGUUCCUCGCUGGAGCGAGGGUUAUUAUAUCUGUAGAUUAUGUAUCUAUAAUGAACCCGAUGUUAUUUAUAUAUAUUUGUAGUUCUGUUAGCAGCUCUAUACUACUGGUUAUAGUUUUGUAUGAUUAUAUGUACAGGUACAGCUAUUGCUUCGUAUACAGGAGAAAUUCCUUUGUAUACGGCGAAUUUGUCGACGUGCCUGGAGAAACGAGUAAUCCGGGACGUGACAUUAAAUAUAAAUAAUAUGUAUUAAUAUAGUACAAUUAAUAAUUUUAUAAUAAAAAUAAUAUAUUAUAAUAUAUAAUAUAUUAUAUUUAUAUAAUUUAGUUUUAAUUUAAUUUAUAAUUUUAAUAAAGUUUAAAAUUAAAUAUUGGAAUAACAGUAUUCUACAAAAUGGUGGAAUAGUAAAUUCCAAGCUAUUCCGGAGUAGCCGAAAAUAGUAAGCUUUAACCGGAAUAAAAUAUUUCGGCAAAUAAUCAUUCUAUUUGGUAGAAUAGUGGAGAGUAAUUUUUGUUAUCCUCGCUUAUACUCCAAACCAACCAAGGGAACCUAAAACAGUACACUUGUGAUACAACAACACAAAGUAAUCAUGCAAAAAUUGUUUCUGAACCCAACCAAAAGUGAUUUUGUUUUACCUUCAUGGGAAUGUGAGAGAUCAGAUAGAUAGAGAGAGAGAGAUCACGAGACCCACUUACACUAUCUCUUCUUGUCACCUUCCCUCUGUCCCCAUCUCCCCUUCCCCCAUCUUCUUUUUCCCUGCUUCUCUCUCACAGAAUACAUUCCCACACCAUCACUCUCUCUCACCAUCACCAUCACCAUCACCAUCAUCAUCUUCUUCUUCUUCUUGUAUAUAUUACAAACCAAGAACAGACCACAUUAAUGGAGGAGGUGGAGAAAGAAAAGGAGAAGAGCAAUAUUCCAUCAAGUAGUGGCCCAAUUGCCAAAAUGCCACUCCCAAAAUCCCCAUCCCUGCAACACCCAGAUGCCCAAACUGGUGCAGAUCAGCGCUUCAACAAUGCCCUCAGAGUUCAGUUCCAGCUCAUCAUCAUCAACUUCCAACCUCUCUCAUCUUAAUUAGUUCUUUCCUUUCUCUAUCUUCUUCUUCAUCUCAUUCGCUGCAUGUUGGAUUCAAAUUAUGUUGCAAACAUAAGAACUCGGAAUGCAUGCCUGCAGGAAUUGAAGGACUUGCGCUCACAACUCCACACGGCUGCAGACUACUGCGAGGAUGCAUUUCUAAAGGCUGAGCGGAAAAAGAUGUGAGCCCAACUCUUUACUUCUGAUUGUAAAUAGCUCAUAUAUGAAUAAGGGGUUAAUUUCAUACAGCUCCCUGUAAACAUAUCGAAUAAUAAAUAUAUUCCUACAAAAUUUAACUUUUCAUAUUUAUUCAUGCAAAAGUCCAAUGACAUUCGUAUUUAUUCUUUUGGUUUGUUACUGUUAGAGCAUUGUUUAUUUUUUAACAGAAGAUAAGUAAAAAUAAUGAUAUUUUUGCCAUCACAAAUAUAUUCUUUCAAAAAUCCCUACUGUUAGAAUUAUGCAAAAACGUUCUUUCAAAAAUCUUCAAUGGUCAUCAUCUUUCUUUCUACCAUCACAAAUACUAUAAGAGCAAUAAAAAGUUCAAUUUACCUCAUUCACUAAUCAGUGUUUAGAAUUUUACACCUUGAUUAACUACACUUUUUUAACGGAUCCUUACAGCAGGGACAUAUUUAAAAACUGUAGGUCUUUUGUAGAGAUAAAUAUGAAAAAUUAAAAGUUCAAAACUUUGUACGGAUAUAUCUGCUAUUCAAUAUGUUUACAGGGAGUUAUGUGCAAUUAACCCUAUGAAUAAUCUGGUAUCUACUAAUCUUUAGUGUUAGUGACAAAGGGUUUGAUGGUCGGCACCUGAAGUUCUACAUUCGAAAACUAGUUACUUUAUAUUUCCAGCUAAGAUCAUUUCAAAUAAAAAAGACAAUGGAAUAAUCUCACAUCUCAUAAUUAAUAAGAGAGUAGCAAGUUGAUAUACACUAGUGGGCCUAGAAUAGGGUUAACCUUUUAGAUUGAAUGGAUUCAUUAGAUAUGUCACAACUUAAUUUGGGCUUAUAUGGGCUUGGGAUGGGCCGAGAACCCCCUAUUAAAUUGUUGUCUAAGUCGUGUGCGGCGAUCGAGUUAAUGGCUUUCAAACAUAACUUGACAUAUAUGGUUUCUACGCAAGUGAUCGUCUAAGUGGUGUGAUGCGAUUGACUUAAGGGUGCGUUUGGUUCGCGCUAUCUUUUAAAGAUUCUUAGUAAUCCAAUGGGAAUAAAAAAAUAUGACGACAUUUGGCUAAACGCACUAAGAGCUAAUAUGGCAUUUUCUUGCUCCGCGAAGAAUCUUGGAGAGCACGAAGAGCUAUGUAUGUGACGCGAUUGUAGCGGUGAUCGAUCAUCUAGGGACUGUCUCAUCAAAGCUCGAUGAUCGACUGUGUGACAACACUGAAAUUGUGCAGACCGAACAUAAGAUCGACUCUCUGAAACAGGUCAGUUAAAAAGUUUCUGUCAUUACAGUAAUAUCAUUUGAUCUAUGUAAUGUUAAUGUAUUACCAAACUAUCACUUAAGAACAAGCGACACUUAUAGAGAAUAUUUUUUUACGAACUCAAUGUCCGCAUUAUGUACAUCUUUAAAAUUUUACAGAACCUUUGAACGAUUUAGAAUGAAUGCUACAGAGAUUUGAUCUUGUGCUAAUUCUUUUGUAUACCCACAUAUCAGAGGCUUUCGAUAUGCCAACAAAAUGCUGUUGCUGUAGAACUAUCGACUCUCCAAUGGACCGCCAAGUUACCGCAACAUCACAGGCGUUAUGUCUCGCAGUGUAAACCUCUCCCCUUGAGUAAUGUAAACAUAUAAAUUCUUCAAGAAUCUGUUACCGUAGUUGAAUAUUCGUUGAACUUCGUAUCCGCUGAAUCUUUUUUUUUUUUUUUUUUUUCAAUGAGCAGCAGCUCAGAGAACUGAAAGACAAAACAGCUACUCCAGGUUUGAAUUUGUUGCCUUUCAAACCUUUUUUAAAAGUUUUUUUUUUUCUACUUUCUAUGUUUCAGUCCAAAUUUAUCUUCAUUGGCAGGAAUGAGGAUUUAAUACCUCUCAAGAACCCAUACAAGAAGGAUGACCGAUUAAAGCUAGCAGAUAAUCAGCUGGCAUCUGCCGCUGUUGCCUUUGCCAAACCCCGUAUUCCUCGAUCAAGUUCUGGUAUGGAAACUAGGAAGAUAAUAUCUGUGGCCAAAUCAUCGAAUAGUUCUUCCUUUAGAACUUGUUUAGAUGCAUGCAUAUCUGCAUAUUCUGUUCGGCAUAUCCUUCUACUUUAGUUAAGUAGCAUAUAAUAUUUGGUAGAUGAGAACUAUGAUCAAAUGUCUAGAAUAAAUAUUAUAUUCCGCAUUCAAGUUAUAUUUUUUUAGAAUAAAAUAAGUCAUCUCAUAUGUAAAAUAUGUUAUUUACUAAAUCAUAAAUACUAAGAUUUCUCAAAGAGCAAAUAUCAAUUAUACUAGAAAAUGUUUGUAGUGAAUAAGUUAUUAUUGGAUAUCCUAUUGUGACAUCUAAGAAGGCCUUAGAGUUAGCACGAAAUGCUGAGCUUUUGUGAGAAGAAAUGGUGGUCUCAAUGUUAGAGAGUAGCCUUUAGUAAUUUGUAUUUAACAUUCCAACUCAUAUCUGAACUCAAGACUUUUUACAGGCAUAAGAUGUCGAGGAUUCUUUUCCUAAUAAAAACUUAACUCGAUGAAACUUAAUACUUCAAUGGUGAAUCACAAUAAAAUUUAAGUACAUGUAGGAAUUUUUUUUUUUUUUUUAUUUUUUUUUUANAGAGAUAGGUAGCACGCUACCCGCUUCGUUUAUUUCAUUUAGAAAUAAACUUAGCUGGAAAUGUGAGUCAACUAGGAUUCGAACUUGGAUCUCGGGUACCAACCACCAAGCCCUUUGCCAUUUGCUAUAGGGACAGUCGGUACAUGUAGGAAUUAUUGACUAGGAAAUUGGUUGGAAUAUAUUGAUUGUA
rnacentral:lncRNA from 1 species